UACGUAGGGGGCAAGCGUUGUCCGGAUUUACUGGGCGUAAAGCGCGUGUAGGUGGAGACUUAAGUCUGGUGGGAAAGCCCCUGGCUCAACCAGGGAAGGACGCUGGAAACUGGGUCUCUUGAGGGCGACAGAGGGAAGUGGAAUUGCUGGUGUAGCGGUGAAAUGCGUAGAGAUCAGCAGGAACACCCGUGGCGAAGGCGGCUUCCUGGGUCGCCCCUGACACUGAGACGCGAAAGCGUGGGGAGCGAACGGG
rnacentral:rRNA from 1 species